AGAAGAAGUAAGUUAAAAGUUGGAUUAGUAAUAGAUAUAUUCUCGAAAAUUAAAAAAUUUGGCGGUAUUUUAGUCUUUUUAGAGGAACCUGUUUUUUAAUUGAUAACCCACGAUAAAUUAAACUUUAAUUUUUAGUUUAUAUAUCGUCGUAGUUUAAUAUUUUUUUAGAAUAAUAUUAAUAAUUUUUUAUUAAAAAUAUAAUCAGAUCAUGAUGUAAUUUAUAUUAAAGUAAUAAUGGGUUACAAUAAAAUUAUUUAUAUGGAUUUAUAGUUGAAAAAUUAUAUUAAAGGUGGAUUUAAUAGUAAAAUAAAUUAUUUAAUUUAUUUGAUUAAAGCUCUAAAGUAUGU
rnacentral:rRNA from 1 species